rnacentral:lncRNA from 1 species
CGGACGAUUUUAAAGUAGACUCCCCAUUCAUUAGAUAGAGAAGAUCACCAAGAUUUAGUGAUCCGCUGCCGAACUUAUUCAAAUUCCAAGAGCUCGGGCAGAAAGAGGGUCUUCGAAUGAAAGUAGUAAGCCGAUCGAUCCAAUAGAAGCGAGCAGCAGAGUCGCUUACACCUUGCUAAUGACAUAAGUAAAGACAUCAGCUUCAAAGCCCCUAGAUAGUAAAACGUAAGAGGAAGGUGACAAAGCAAGUAUGCUACUAUUCGAACCCCAACCUAAAACCUACUACUGGAAAUCCCACUAAGGGCGGGCAUUCUGAUCAGCAACUCACUCUCUGGAGAAUUGCAUUGUCGUCGCAUAUAGCAUGGGGAAUCAGGUUAGCACCCACAUUUAGGAAUAAAAGAAAGGAGGGUUUGAAGUGCAAGAAGGCCCAGCUGUAAGUACUUCCCUGGUAUCCAACAAAAAGCGAACUUUGGUUUCAUUCCUUUUGCUCUAAGUAUACACCUUGACAACC